rnacentral:rRNA from 1 species
AUUGAACGCUGGCGGAAUGCUUUACACAUGCAAGUCGAACGGUAGAGGGGGCAACCCCUUGAGAGUGGCGAACGGGUGAGUAAUAUAUCGGAACGUGCCCAGUCGUGGGGAUAACGUAGCGAAAGUUACGCUAAUACCGCAUACGUCCUACGGGAGAAAGCGGGGGAUCGCAAGACCUCGCGCGAUUGGAGCGGCCGAUAUCAGAUUAGGUAGUUGGUGAGGUAAAGGCUCACCAAGCCGACGAUCUGUAGCUGGUCUGAGAGGACGACCAGCCACACUGGGACUGAGACACGGCCCAGACUCCUACGGGAGGCAGCAGUGGGGAAUUUUGGACAAUGGGCGCAAGCCUGAUCCAGCAAUGCCGCGUGCAGGAUGAAGGCC